UGAAACCUCAGGUUAAUGGUGUUAGAAAAGAGAGAAGUCCUGCCCUUUCCUUCUGCUUUUUCCCUUGCACUGGUUGAAUGCGAGUGUCCUGUAAGAGCUGAGCGCCACUGUAUGCAUAGAAAGCUUGACAGACAACGAGAUACAAAACUUCAGAAUCCCUGACACUACAGAGCCGCUGCCACCUCCGCACCACCAACCGGGACUGUUCACACUCAAGUAGGGGGCUCGUUUUGAGACAUUUGCCAGCGCAGCACCACGAGGUGAACAAUCCCAUUUUUGCCAACAUCUGCCUUCUGACGAAGCCCACCAGAAACACACCUGCAGGCAAGGAAAUUCAGGAUUAUUGACUCUCUGCACCAGAGGUGAUGGGACAGCAUGGGGACCGUGGAGCAUCUCCUCGUUUUAUUAGGAACAUCACAGUCUGUUAAGAAGCCACUACUUUCAACGAACAAAAGCAGCGUUCCCAGGUUCACACCUGCCACCUUCCUCCUGUUCACCAUCACCAGCCUCAGACUCACUGGUCUGGCCACUGGAUUCACAGGGAAUGUGACUCUGUUUUUACCCAAAGGAAGUAUAGACACAGCCAAAGUGUUUAAGAACUCCAUGUCUUAAGCACCUUCAGUGUCCAGUGCCUGGCACAAAGUCAAUGCCUAAUAAAUGCAGGUGGAAUGAAGUGCUCCAGCCUGGGGGUCUAGGAACAGAAAUGGAACUCUGGGCACAUCUCAGACCACACCGUGUGGAUACUUGUACACUCUGUACAUGUAGAGUUUGUUUGUUACCAUCCCUGCCAAGUUCCCUUUUUCUGCAGACCGGGCCACUCCAAGACCACGCGGAUAGGAAGGAAAGUGUGGUAUUUGCAGCUGUGCCCUCUAGGUGUGGCCCUUGCUGCAAGUAAACACACGGCCUGAUUGUUUCUUAUGCUUCACGUCCAUAAGGCCUCAGAUAUCACAACCUUUAAGCAGGGUGUCUCAAAAUGUGCUCCCCCACCACCGGCCCCCGGAGCACCCACGAUGCCUGCUUACAAAGUGCAGAUUCCGCCUCCACCCACAUGGACAGGAUUGGAUCCUCCAGCCCUGGAAACCAGGCUCUGUGGUUUCCACAAAUUCCCCUGCGUGUUGUCUUUGCACACCAGCUCUAGAGAAUAGCUCUACCAGACGGCGUGAUUUUUUUUUUUUCUUUUUCUGUAAGCUCUGUUCAUCUAAUAAAGCAACGGGAAUCUAUUGAUUCACUUGUCCAUUCAACCAACAUCCACCAAGUGCCAGGUACAGAGGUAACUACCGUGAAAAAGACACUCGGUGCUUACAGUCUUCCAGGAAGCUCAUCUCUCAAGACUACUUGCCAUGAUGUGAAAUUUUGUUUUCCUUUCUUAGACCAAAAAGGGGGGGGGGAAAUGGUGUCAUGCUUCCUGACCAGUGAUCAGAACUACUAAUGUUUACAAGCUGAGCUGUUUGCAGUGGCUACUCCUCAGAGAACGGGAGUAGGAAGAGAAAUGAACUGCUUGGCAGUAGGAAGAAAAAUGAACCCCAUUGUACCCCCAUGUUUUCCUGGCAUCCUCCAUGCCCGACCACUCUGCACAUCCUGACUCCGCCGACAGCUUGGCACAGAGCCUGGCACUCUGGCCACUGGCUUGUCCUCCCGCUGCCAGCUGCCUCGGUCUCCCCCAGGCUCCGGAGCACUGGCCAGGGCGUUGCCAGGUGAGAACCGGAGCACCCACGCCUUCGCCCCACCUGCUCAGACUCCCUGGAAAGUCUGCUUCUGCCAUCACCUCCAGGCUCUGAGGAGGCUCCCUAGAAUGCGUGGGACCUCACCUGCCCAAAGGCUGGGAAGGGGCAGGUGGUGUCCCACAGAGAGCAAACUUUGCCUAACAAGGGACGAGAGAACCAAGAGCCAUCAGACAAAUAUCUUGCCAUCCCACCUCCAACACACACACCCAUGGACUGUCCCAGGCAAGGUGGCUGCUAAAGUCUUUCAGGAGAUACCUGUUCCUUUUCUUUUUCAUUACUGCUGCCUUAGGAGAGCAUCCCUAGGUACUAGCAUGUAUGAUCUGCCUCGGGCUCUGUUGUCCAAAGAAACCAGGCCCAGGCUGUGUCUCCAUUUAAAAAUUAAUUUCUUCCAAUUUGUCAACUAAAAUAUUUAAAGUGAAAAAAAUAAAUAAAAUAAAAUAUUUAAAGUGUCUAACUUUGGCAUUAUGGCUGAGUGUCCAUCUCUCUCUUGAAGUCGGGGAUGGUGCCUCACUCAUAUUUAUUUUUCCAGCCCAAGAAUUAUGCCUUGAUUCACAUAGUAGGAAGUCAGUAAGCUGGCAUUUGAUUAAAUAAUACAAAAUCUCUGUCUUCGAGAGGCUCACGAUCAGAAUCGUCAGGCUCCCGGUGCCAUCCUUGAAAUGGUCUUGGUCUCCUCAAAUAGUCGGGCACCUAGAUAGUGACCUAGAGCUGCCCUAUGUGAUCAUGCAAUGACAGAAGUAAAAGAUGAGUGGGAGCAUGGCAAGAAAUAACAGCUUAUAGAUUACAACUUUCAAAUUCCCAUAAUGAACUGCUGAGGAGACUGUGAUUUUCCUGGGCUAUGACAGU